AUGACAUAAGCCACUCCCACUAUGUUUCUAUUGGACAGUGCUAGACAAGGGAUUAAAUAACAAUGGAGAUGCAACUGGAGAAGUUGAUUGGAUCCUAAGCUUGGAAGGCCUUGAAGAACAUUUACAAAUCACCCUGAGAGUGCCAAAUUUUGCCCACAACUUAUAGAAAUAUACAAUGUCUUCACUCAAGGUUCACGGCUUUUAUAUUGCCUGUGUUUCUCCACCUUCUGAUGAGGCUUCAGCAGAAUCCGAGCUCUUCUCCUGGAAUCAACCAGCAAGCGGUUAUCAGAAUUCUCCAGCCACUCCUGGAUACCACUGCCAACAAGCUGGAAAGAAUUGUGCAGGGGAAAUGCCAGCCUUGCUGAAUCAAGCAACUUCUUCAACCCAAAGUUGACUGGAAAGAAGUAGAUGUUAUACACAGAUACCCUGGAACAGUGAUUGGUGGCUGUCUCUUCUGUCCCAGUAUGCUUAGAGGAGUCAGUUCAUUUCUGAAACAAGGAAAAGGAGAAGCAAUUCUCAAUAUGUUGUUAAGCACAAAAGAACAAGAAGCAAAGAAAUUUUUCUACAAGUACAAUAAAUGAGGAAAAAGACUGAUGGAAGCAAUUUUCACAUAUUGAGAUAUGGGUAAGUCAUUUUGGCUUAUACAUGAUUUGGCUUAAACUUUAUGCUAACUAGAACAGCCAGUUUUGUAGUCUUUUAAACAUGCAUUCUGCAUCUGCCUUAACCAUUAAAGAAAAGAAUGCUUUUAAAAAUAAAAAUGAAGUAACUGUGGUCCGGGUAUCCAAUGUGGAGCCAGGUGGCCAUUGUGCAUGUGAUUUCAGGCACAUUCCUGCAUCACCGAGAACUUCUAGUUCCCUCAUAUCUCCCUGGUUCUUGAUGUCCAGUGGGAGGUGAAGAUGAUAACUGGCAAGCUUGGGACAUGGGUCAUCUUUGGAUGAGAGUCUCUGAGUCAAUAAAUGCUUCCUUUAGCUUGUUUGGUAAGGUCACUUGAUAUCCUUCCUAUACCACUUGACAUCACAGAAGGUUGACAGCCUCCAGUUAUGACUGUGGGAAACUUUUUGUCAGUCUCUACCCCCCGGGGGCAACACUGCA